GUGUUCUUAUUCGAUUGCUGCGGCUUUCCCCGUAUUUUUAGCAAAGAAGUAAGGGGAAGGAUUCCGAGGAUCUUGCGUUUCCUUAUUUGGUCGCAAUUUUCUCGGGAUGUGGUGUCUUGGAUUUCGCGAGAUUUCCGCGAGCAGACGGGUGUGAUUUGAAAGGACGAGUCGCUUCGUUUCCUUUCGCCACGUGUAAAGGCUAUGAAACAGCACUCGAGUGGCUAUUCUUUGAGAUUUGAACUUCGAGGUUGUUUUGGACCGUUGGAUUUUCGCGCCUUUUCGUUUCUCCUGAGAUCACAUCUGGGCCACUUGAUCGUGAUUGAUCCGGAUCGUUAGAUUGAUCCUGUGGUUCAGAUGGAAGCGGCGCGAACUUUCCUGUACGGAUGCGUUGGCCUAUAUAUAGGAGGGAGGUUUUUCGUUUGAAACUUUACAGUUUCUCACUUACUUUCUCUAUUAUUUUGCCUUUCCGGUUCAAGCUUUCUCUGGUGGUUUUCUACUACAAACUCCUCAUUCCUAUCUUCAUUUGACCAACAAGUAAGUGUUUUAUCCUUUUAAUCUUUGAAGAUUUUGUUUGGAUUUUACUUUGGAUUGUUGUAGAUAGUUCACGCGGUGUAGGGCUGUAGUAUGUUUCCUGUGUAGUCUGGGUAGUCUUUUUGAAGGUUGUAGGUGGUGAUUAGCACCCUUUUCCCCCCAAAAGAGGGGUUUUUCGUGGUUUUCCGGCGAGAAAUCGCUUGUUUUCACCAACUGACGGUUGGGUUCUAGCUUAGAACAGUGUCGAGCACCAUAUGCAUUUCGUGCUCGGUUGUCUACAUGAAUUUCG
rnacentral:lncRNA from 1 species